rnacentral:rRNA from 1 species
AUGAACGCUGGCGGCGUGCCUAAUACAUGCAAGUCGCGCGAACGGACGAGAAGCUUGCUUCUCUGAUGUUAGCGGCGGACGGGUGAGUAACACGUGGAUAACCUACCUAUAAGACUGGGAUAACUUCGGGAAACCGUAGCUAAUACCGGAUAAUAUUUUGAACCGCAUGGUUCAAAAGUGAAAGACGGUCUUGCUGUCACUUAUAGAUGGAUCCGCGCUGCAUUAGCUAGUUGGUAAGGUAACGGCUUACCAAGGCAACGAUGCAUAGCCGACCUGAGAGGGUUAUCGGCCACACUGGAACUGAGACACGGUCCAGACUCCUACGGGAGGCAGCAGUAGGUAAUCUUCCGCAAUGGGCGAAAGCCUGACGGAGCAACGCCGCGUGAGUGAUGAAGGUCUUCGGAUCGUAAAACUCUGUUAUUAGGGAAGAACAUAUGUGUAAGUAACUGUGCACAUCUUGACGGUACCUAAUCAGAAAGCCACGGCUAACUACGU